rnacentral:lncRNA from 14 species
GUCUACUAGACGGAGUCUGGGUAGCAGUUAACUUAGUAAUUCCUACGAAUAUGUUUGGGUAGUUCGUGUUAUUCAGAAGACUAACAUAUUUGGUGAUACAGAAAGCUCUAAUGAGAAAUAAAAUUGUGGAGACAUUGG